rnacentral:rRNA from 2 species
CAACGCCGCGUGAGUGAAGAAGGGUUUCGGCUCGUAAAACUCUGUUGUUAAAGAAGAACAUAUCUGAGAGUAACUGUUCAGGUAUUGACGGUAUUUAACCAGAAAGCCACGGCUAACUACGUGCCAGCAGCCGCGGUAAUACGUAGGUGGCAAGCGUUGUCCGGAUUUAUUGGGCGUAAAGCGAGCGCAGGCGGUUUUUUAAGUCUGAUGUGAAAGCCUUCGGCUCAACCGAAGAAGUGCAUCGGAAACUGGGAAACUUGAGUGCAGAAGAGGACAGUGGAACUCCAUGUGUAGCGGUGAAAUGCGUAGAUAUAUGGAAGAACACCAGUGGCGAAGGCGGCUGUCUGGUCUGUAACUGACGCUGAGGCUCGAAAGUAUGGGUAGCAAACAGGAUUAGAUACCCUGGUAGUCCAUACCGUAAACGAUGAAUGCUAAGUGUUGGAGGGUUUCCGCCCUUCAGUGCUGCAGCUAACGCAUUAAGCAUUCCGCCUGGGGAGUACGGCCGCAAGGCUGAAACUCAAAGGAAUUGACGGGGGCCCGCACAAGCGGUGGAGCAUGUGGUUUAAUUCGAAGCUACGCGAAGAACCUUACCAGGUCUUGACAUACUAUGCAAAUCUAAGAGAUUAGACGUUCCCUUCGGGGACAUGGAUACAGGUGGUGCAUGGUUGUCGUCAGCUCGUGUCGUGAGAUGUUGGGGUUAAGUCCCGCAACGAGCGCAACCCUUAUUAUCAGUUGCCAGCAUUAAGUUGGGCACUCUGGUGAGACUGCCGGUGACAACCGGAAGAAGGG